rnacentral:rRNA from 1 species
AACGAACGCUGGCGGCAGGCCUAACACAUGCAAGUCGAACGCAUCCUUCGGGGUGAGUGGCGCACGGGUGAGUAACACGUGGGAAUGUACCCUUUGGUUCGGAAUAACGUCUGGAAACGGACGCCAAUACCGGAUGAGCCCUGCGGGGGAAAGAUUUAUCGCCGAAGGAGCAGCCCGCGUCUGAGUAGCUAGUUGGUGGGGUAAAGGCCUACCAAGGCGACGAUCAGUAGCUGGUCUGAGAGGAUGAUCAGCCACACUGGGACUGAGACACGGCCCAGACUCCUACGGGAGGCAGCAGUGGGGAAUAUUGGACAAUGGGCGGAAGCCUGAUCCAGCCAUGCCGCGUGAGUGAUGAAGGCCUUCGGGUUGUAAAGCUCUUUCGCACGCGACGAUGAUGACGGUAGCGUGAGAAGAAGCCCCGGCUAACUUCGUGCCAGCCGCCGCAGUAA